rnacentral:rRNA from 1 species
GAUGAACGCUGGCGGCGUGCUUAACACAUGCAAGUCGAACGAUGAAGCCCAGCUUGCUGGGUGGAUUAGUGGCGAACGGGUGAGUAACACGUGAGUAACCUGCCCUUAACUCUGGGAUAAGCCUGGGAAACUGGGUCUAAUACCGGAUAGGAGCGUCCACCGCAUGGUGGGUGUUGGAAAGAUUUAUCGGUUUUGGAUGGACUCGCGGCCUAUCAGCUUGUUGGUGAGGUAAUGGCUCACCAAGGCGACGACGGGUAGCCGGCCUAAGAGGGUGACCGGCCACACUGGGACUGAGACACGGCCCAGACUCCUACGGGAGGCAGCAGUGGGGAAUAUUGCACAAUGGGCGCAAGCCUGAUGCAGCGACGCCGCGUGAGGGAUGACGGCCUUCGGGUUGUAAACCUCUUUCAGUAGGGAAGAAGCGAAAGUGACGGUACCUGCAGAAGAAGCACCGGCUAACUACGUG